UCAGUGUGGACAGCCGGUGAGGUUGCUCUUGCAUGGCUUUGUCCAAGUGGCUUAUGGGAGCAUAGCACUGUACAGUGCCAUGAUGUACAGUCCCGUUCCACAACAUUGUACAGCAAGCCUGUUCCCAGCCUUUGGGCUGAUAGGGACGGCGUCCUGCAUAUUCCUACGUCUUCCCAGAGCCUCUGGGCCAUGACUGGGGAGGCAAACCAUGUAGUGCACAAGU
ensembl:snoRNA SNORA73 Small nucleolar RNA SNORA73 family